rnacentral:lncRNA from 1 species
CGCAUUGUAAGCUUAUGCUCUCCCUCUCAAGACGCAUUAAAGCUUUUCUGUAGUAGGAUCCUGUGUGUGCCGCGUCGUUCCUGCUGGCGAGACGUAGCGCGGGACAUCUGGUGCCAAAAACCCGGGAAAGACCUCACCAUCGUCAGCACCUUCGGAGAUCCCUUGGCGACAAGGAGGAUUCAGAACUGCAGGACAAUGAAAAUCCCAUAUGGAUCCCAGUACGACUUACUCGGAGCAUCACAGCAAGUGAUCAAGAAGGGACUGGGACUCCUGCACCUCCUCACUCUUCUUCCAUGGAUGCCAGCAACGGUGCAGGGCGAGCUACGAUGGGGAAUAAUGUCAACCUUUCCACUCCCGAUGCCGGUGAUGUACCACUAACAGGGAUUUAGGGUUGGCCUAUUUACCUAAGGAUCCACAGGUUGAAUGACUAAAAGAAAAUAGGACUAUUCCUCUUAAGGGCAGCCUUUGUUUUGGCAUAUUCAACAAAACAUCUUUUGAUCUCCCUUGCAUUAUGUUAUGUAAUCAAUCUUCUGCUUGGUUAAGGGAGGCCACAUGGGGAACUGGUGAGGAGGACAUUGUGGCUAACGCCACAGUUCUCUAUGGUGGUGGCCUUACAUUGGGUUAAUGGUAGCUGCACUGAUCUUACGCCCAUGGCGAUGCUACUUGGAGGAAAGGGCGAAAAGGGACGGUUGUCAUUUUCCUGGACGGGGAACAUCAAACCUGCUGCCUCUGUCUGGACAGCUACUCAUAUAAAAUAUCGCAGUAGUUACCCGCAUGCCUCGCUUU